AUUGAACGCUGGCGGCAGGCCUAACACAUGCAAGUCGAGCGAGCGGCGGACGGGUGAGUAAUGUCUGGGAAACUGCCUGAUGGAGGGGGAUAACUACUGGAAACGGUAGCUAAUACCGCAUACCAUCAGAUGUGCCCAGAGGGGAUUAGCUAGUAGGUGGGGUAACGGCUCACCUAGGCGACGAUACCUAGCUGGUCUGAUAGGAUGACCAGCCAGACUGGAACUGAGACACGGUCCAGACUCCUACGGGAGGUAGCAGUGGGGAAUAUUGCACAAUGGGCGCAAGCCUGAUGCAGCCAUGCCGCGUGUGUGAAGAAGGCCUUCGGGUUGUAAAGCACUUGCAGCGGGGAGGCGUUACCCGCAGAAGAAGCACCGGCUAACUCCGUGCCAGCAGCCGCGGUAAUAC
rnacentral:rRNA from 1 species